UACCAUGCAGUCGAGCGGAUGAGGGAGCUUGCUCCUGGAUUCAGCGGCGGACGGGUGAGUAAUGCCUAGGAAUCUGCCUGGUAGUGGGGGAUAACGUCCGGAAACGGGCGCUAAUACCGCAUACGUCCUGAGGGAGAAAGUGGGGGAUCUUCGGACCUCACGCUAUCAGAUGAGCCUAGGUCGGAUUAGCUAGUUGGUGGGGUAAAGGCCUACCAAGGCGACGAUCCGUAACUGGUCUGAGAGGAUGAUCAGUCACACUGGAACUGAGACACGGUCCAGACUCCUACGGGAGGCAGCAGUGGGGAAUAUUGGACAAUGGGCGAAAGCCUGAUCCAGCCAUGCCGCGUGUGUGAAGAAGGUCUUCGGAUUGUAAAGCACUUUAAGUUGGGAGGAAGGGCAGUAAGUUAAUACCUUGCUGUUUUGACGUUACCAACAGAAUAAGCACCGGCUAACUUCGUGCCAGCAGCCGCGGUAAUACGAAGGGUGCAAGCGUUAAUCGGAAUUACUGGGCGUAAAGCGCGCGUAGGGGGUUCAGCAAGUUGCAUGUGAAAUCUCCGGGCUCAACCUGGGAACUGCAUCCACAACUACUGAGCUAUAUUACGGUAGAUGCUGCUGGAAUAUCUUGUGGAGCGGCGAGGUGCGUCGACAUCGGAUGCAGCACGAGCGACCACGGUGUCUACUCGUGCUUGAUUCUUCAAA
rnacentral:rRNA from 1 species